rnacentral:rRNA from 1 species
GAUGAACGCUGGCGGCGUGCCUAAUACAUGCAAGUCGAGCGAACGGACGAGAAGCUUGCUUCUCUGAUGUUAGCGGCGGACGGGUGAGUAACACGUGGAUAACCUACCUAUAAGACUGGGAUAACUUCGGGAAACCGGAGCUAAUACCGGAUAGUAUUUUGAACCGCAUGGUUCAAAAGUGAAAGACGGUCUUGCUGUCACUUAUAGAUGGAUCCGCGCUGCAUUAGCUAGUUGGUAAGGUAACGGCUUACCAAGGCAACGAUGCAUAGCCGACCUGAGAGGGUGAUCGGCCACACUGGAACUGAGACACGGUCCAGACUCCUACGGGAGGCAGCAGUAGGGAAUCUUCCGCAAUGGGCGAAAGCCUGACGGAGCAACGCCGCGUGAGUGAUGAAGGUCUUCGGAUCGUAAAACUCUGUUAUUAGGGAAGAACAUAUGUGUAAGUAACUGUGCACAUCUUGACGGUACCUAAUCAGAAAGCCACGGCUAACUACGUGCCAGCAGCCGCGGUAAUACGUAGGUGGCAAGCGUUAUCCGGAAUUAUUGGGCGUAAAGCGCGCGUAGGCGGUUUUUUAAGUCUGAUGUGAAAGCCCACGGCUCAACCGUGGAGGGUCAUUGGAAACUGGAAAACUUGAGUGCAGAAGAGGAAAGUGGAAUUCCAUGUGUAGCGGUGAAAUGCGCAGAGAUAUGGAGGAACACCAGUGGCGAAGGCGACUUUCUGGUCUGUAACUGACGCUGAUGUGCGAAAGCGUGGGGAUCAAACAGGAUUAGAUACCCUGGUAGUCCACGCCGUAAACGAUGAGUGCUAAGUGUUAGGGGGUUUCCGCCCCUUAGUGCUGCAGCUAACGCAUUAAGCACUCCGCCUGGGGAGUACGACCGCAAGGUUGAAACUCAAAGGAAUUGACGGGGACCCGCACAAGCGGUGGAGCAUGUGGUUUAAUUCGAAGCAACGCGAAGAACCUUACCAAAUCUUGACAUCCUUUGACAACUCUAGAGAUAGAGCCUUCCCCUUCGGGGGACAAAGUGACAGGUGGUGCAUGGUUGUCGUCAGCUCGUGUCGUGAGAUGUUGGGUUAAGUCCCGCAACGAGCGCAACCCUUAAGCUUAGUUGCCAUCAUUAAGUUGGGCACUCUAAGUUGACUGCCGGUGACAAACCGGAGGAAGGUGGGGAUGACGUCAAAUCAUCAUGCCCCUUAUGAUUUGGGCUACACACGUGCUACAAUGGACAAUACAAAGGGCAGCGAAACCGCGAGGUCAAGCAAAUCCCAUAAAGUUGUUCUCAGUUCGGAUUGUAGUCUGCAACUCGACUACAUGAAGCUGGAAUCGCUAGUAAUCGUAGAUCAGCAUGCUACGGUGAAUACGUUCCCGGGUCU